GACGUAGGGCGCGAGCGUUGUCCGGAUUAUUGGGCGUAAAGAGCUCGUAGGCGGCUUGUCGCGUCGACUGUGAAAUCCCGCGGCUCAACUGCGGGUCUGCAGUCGAUACGGGCAGGCUAGAGUUCGGUAGGGGAGACUGGAAUUCCUGGUGUAGCGGUGAAAUGCGCAGAUAUCAGGAGGAACACCGAUGGCGAAGGCAGGUCUCUGGGCCGAUACUGACGCUGAGGAGCGAAAGCGUGGGGAGCGAACAGG
rnacentral:rRNA from 1 species